UACGUAGGGUGCGAGCGUUAAUCGGAAUUACUGGGCGUAAAGCGUGCGCAGGCGGUUGUGUAAGACAGGUGUGAAAUCCCCGGGCUUAACCUGGGAAUGGCAUUUGGGACUGCAAGGCUUGAGUGCGGCAGAGGAGACUGGAAUUCCUGGUGUAGCAGUGAAAUGCGUAGAUAUCAGGAGGAACACCGAUGGCGAAGGCAGGUCUCUGGGCUGACACUGACGCUCAUGCACGAAAGCGUGGGGAGCAAACAGG
rnacentral:rRNA from 1 species